rnacentral:tRNA from 1 species
ACCUGGCUGGCUCAAUGGUAGAGCAUGCAACUCUUGAUCUUAGGGUUGUGAGUUUGAGUCCCACGUUGGGUG